GUAACGGAGGAGCACGAAGGUGGGCUAAUCACGGUCGGACAUCGUGAGGUUAGUGCAAUGGCAUAAGCCCGCUUAACUGCGAGAGUGACGGCUCGAGCAGGUACGAAAGUAGGUCAUAGUGAUCCGGUGGUUCUGAAUGGAAGGGCCAUCGCUCAACGGAUAAAAGGUACUCCGGGGAUAACAGGCUGAUACCGCCCAAGAGUUCAUAUCGACGGCGGUGUUUGGCACCUCGAUGUCGGCUCAUCACAUCCUGGGGCUGAAGUCGGUCCCAAGGGUAUGGCUGUUCGCCAUUUAAAGUGGUACGCGAGCUGGGUUUAGAACGUCGUGAGACAGUUCGGUCCCUAUCUGCCGUGGGCGUUGGAUGAUUGAGGGGAGCUGCUCCUAGUACGAGAGGACCGGAGUGGACGAACCGCUGGUGUUCGGGUUGUGUCGCCAGACGCAUUGCCCGGUAGCUAAGUUCGGCACAGAUAAGCGCUGAAAGCAUCUAAGCGCGAAGCUGGC
rnacentral:rRNA from 1 species